rnacentral:rRNA from 1 species
AAGUCGUAACAAGGUUUCCGUAGGUGAACCUGCGGAAGGAUCAUUACCGAGUUGAUUCGAGCUCCGGCUCGACUCUCCCACCCAAUGUGUACCUACCUCUAUUGCUUUGGCGGGCCGCGGUCCUCCGCACCGGCGCCCUUCGGGGGGCUGGCCAGCGCCCGCCAGAGGACCAUAAAACUCCAGUCAGUGAACUUUGCAGUCUGAGAAACAAGUUAAUAAACUAAAACUUUCAACAACGGAUCUCUUGGUUCUGGCAUCGAUGAAGAACGCAGCGAAAUGCGAUAAGUAAUGUGAAUUGCAGAAUUCAGUGAAUCAUCGAAUCUUUGAACGCACAUUGCGCCCCUUGGUAUUCCGAGGGGCAUGCCUGUUCGAGCGUCAUUUCAACCCUCAAGCUCUGCUUGGUAUUGGGCUCCGUCCUCCACGGACGCGCCUUAAAGACCUCGGCGGUGGCGUCUUGCCUCAAGCGUAGUAGAAAACACCUCGCUUUGGAGCGCACGGCGUCGCCCGCCGGACGAACCUUUGAAUUAUUUCUCAAGGUUGACCUCGGAUCAGGUAGGGAUACCCGCUGAACUUAA